UAAAUACAUAUUUUUUAAAAACCAUACAUGGCCCAGAUCCAUAAAGACCAUUGUAACUGAUUGUCUUACACUCUGUCAGUUAUGACAUUUCACAGAACCUCAUUUAUUCCCACAUGUUGGAGUGACCUUUCUUGCUAUUGUAUGAAGGUGUGCCUCUGUGUUUUCAAUUGUUAAUUCUGUACCCACAGAGAGCUAAGUACUGGCAGGAUUUGGGUAUUGCCAUUUCUGUGGCCAUCAUCGGGUUUUCUGUUUGUAAAUGCUUGUCCUUCCACACCUGCCCAAAACAUGAAGGUCAGAGAGCUCUCAAUGCCUUAGGCAACCAAGAGACAGCCCAGGUGUUGUCUUUCUGCUGAUUGGUUAUAAUUACCAUACUGUGGCAGGAAAUAAGGUUUGGAACCUCCAGGCAGGCAAAGAGACAGGAAGGAUGUAAGCAGAGACAGAAGUGGAAGGCAACAGAAGAGAUCAGACUGGAACAGAGAGGAAGGGUUGAUAUAACCCAGGCUAGCCUCGAACUCUUGAUCUCUAUGCUUCCAUUUCCAAAGGAUUAGGAUUGCACGUAUGCUGCCCUGUAGCUGUAACCCCAGUCCCAGUCUGUCAAGCUGGCGCAACCGUUUAACUGUAAACUCUAUGAGACUCAGUGAAACCACCCAACGGAGCCCAAGGAAGAGUGACUGCAUUCAUUAAGGAUACCCAUCGGACAUAUCAUCUCAUAGGUGAGUUAUACAGCCAUAGCACUGGACACGGAAGCCAAGAAGUUACCAUGUGCAAAGAAAGCACGGAAACCUAUCACCGCUAUUCCUAUUGCUACAAUGACUUAGCCACGAGGAAGUGCAGAGAGACAGGAACAUCGAUGUCAAUGACCAAAAGAGAUUUCCCCCUUCAGAAGCUAAAAAAUAUCAAGGCAGAUCAAGUUCAUGAGUGACAAAGCCAGAACGGUAAAGGAUGGAGCCUGGCAGGAACACCUGCUCCCGAUUGCAGCAUCGAUCCUGGACUUUGUGCAAAGAUGGUGAACUUUGCCUUAGUGCCGCAGAUUCAGCUCUUAAGACCGCCCCGGAGUGACUUCUUUCCUCUGUUAUUGUACAGGUCUCAUGUUUGGUUAGAUGAUAUCCCAGGGGAAGGCAGAGAACAGAAUAAUGAACAGCACGUCCUUCUCAUCCUUUUUUCCUUUAAAAUGGAGGAUGAGACCUUGCUCUACAGCCCUGGCUUGCCUGCCAGGACCCCAGACUACUCUCGAACUGUGGCAAUCUUUCUGCUUUAGCCUCUGAAGUGCAGGAAUUACAGAGCUGAGCCAACCCGGAAUAUAAACUUUCAGAACACUCUUAA